CGUGGGGUAAACCAGGAAAGGUGGGGCUCCUUCGGGACCUACCGCAUCGGGAUGAGUUUGCGUACCAUUAGCUAGUUGGUGGGGUAAAGGCCUACCAAGGCGACGAUGGUUAGCGGGUCUGAGAGGAUGAUCCGUCACACUGGCACUGGAACACGGGCCAGACUCCUACGGGAGGCAGCAGUGAGGAAUAUUGCGCAAUGGGGGAAACCCUGACGCAGCGACGCCGCGUGAGUGAGGAAGGCCUUCGGGUCGUAAAGCUCUGUCAGCAGGGAAGAAGUGCUGCAUGGGUAAUAUCUGUGUAGUUUGACGGUACCUGCAGAGGAAGCACCGGCUAACUCCGUGCCAGCAGCCGCGGUAAUACGGAGGGUGCGAGCGUUGUUCGGAAUCACUGGGCGUAAAGGGCGCGCAGGCGGUUUCAUAAGUCAGAUGUGAAAUCCCACGGCUUAACCGUGGAAGUGCAUUUGAAACUGUGGGACUUGAGUACCAGAGGGGAAAGUGGAAUUCCCGGUGUAGAGGUGAAAUUCGUAGAUAUCGGGAGGAAUACCGGUGGCGAAGGCGACUUUCUGGCUGGAUACUGACGCUGAGGCGCGAAAGCGUGGGGAGCAAACAGGAUUAGAUACCCUGGUAGUCCACGCCGUAAACGAUGUGCACUAGAUGUUGGAGGUGUUGAUCCCUUCGGUGUGGAGCUAACGCAUUAAGUGCACCGCCUGGGGAGUACGGUCGCAAGAUUAAAACUCAAAGGAAUUGACGGGGGCCCGCACAAGCGGUGGAGUAUGUGGUUUAAUUCGAUGCAACGCGAA
rnacentral:rRNA from 1 species